CCUACGGGUGGCUGCAGUCGAGAAUCUUCGGCAAUGGGCGAAAGCCUGACCGAGCGACGCCGCGUGCGGGAUGAAGGCCCUCGGGUUGUAAACCGCGAAAGUAGGGAGGAAGUCGAUGGGGGUUCUCCCCCAUUGUUGACCUAUCUACAGUAAGGACGGGCUAAGUCCGUGCCAGCAGCCGCGGUAAUACGGACCGUCCAAACGUUAUUCGGAAUCACUGGGCUUAAAGGGUACGUAGGCGGCGCUGUUAGUCGGGCGUGAAAUCCCACGGCUCAACCGUGGAACUGCGCCCGAAACUGCAGUGCUUGAGGGAGACAGAGGUAAGCGGAACUGAUGGUGGAGCGGUGAAAUGCGUUGAUAUCAUCAGGAACACCAGUGGCGAAAGCGGCUUACUGGGUCUCUUCUGACGCUGAGGUACGAAAGCUAGGGUAGCGAAGGGG
rnacentral:rRNA from 1 species